GCCCUACUUCAUUUCAUCACAUAGACAUUUUAUCAUCCCACAUCAUCACAAGAAGAAGGGUCAAAUCCAGGACAGAGCACCAUUACACAUAAUAUUUAAGACUCCUGUAACUGAUAUAUUAUUCUACCUCAUUUUUUGAUUUUCACAUUUUUUCCCUCCACUUAGGGAUCUACAUGAGUCCAUAUGUGCAGCGCACCAUUUCCCACUGGAUUACUUUACAAUCAUCAAGGCUACAUAAAAAGCGGUAGAGGGAGCAGGUGGAAGAAAUGGGAGCAAUGAGAAGCCCUCCAUACAGAGAGAAAAAUUUGGAUACUGACAUAGAAGAAAAAUGGCCAUGUGAAGACAGAGACAGAGACUGGAGUUUUAGGGCCACAAUCUUAGGAACACCUGGAAUACCAGAGGCUGAAAAGGCAACAAGGAUUCUCCCUCAGAGACUGAAGAGAGCAUAGCACUACCAACAACUUGAUUUCAACUUCAUUACUCUAUAGCUGAGAGUUAAUAAAUGUCUCUUGUUGUUAGGCACCUA